rnacentral:rRNA from 1 species
UGGGGAAUAUUGCACAAUGGGCGCAAGCCUGAUGCAGCCAUGCCGCGUGUGUGAAGAAGGCCUUCGGGUUGUAAAGCACUUUCAGCGAGGAGGAAGGUGGUGAGCUUAAUACGCUCAUCAAUUGACGUUACUCGCAGAAGAAGCACCGGCUAACUCCGUGCCAGCAGCCGCGGUAAUACGGAGGGUGCAAGCGUUAAUCGGAAUUACUGGGCGUAAAGCGCACGCAGGCGGUUUGUUAAGUCAGAUGUGAAAUCCCCGGGCUCAACCUGGAACUGCAUUUGAAACUGGCAAGCUAGAGUCUCGUAGAGGGGGGUAGAAUUCCAGGUGUAGCGGUGAAAUGCGUAGAGAUCUGGAGGAAUACCGGUGGCGAAGGCGGCCCCCUGGACGAAGACUGACGCUCAGGUGCGAAAGCGUGGGGCAGCAAACAGGAUUAGAUACCCUGGUAGUCCACGCUGUAAACGAUGUCGAUUUUGGAGGUUGUGCCCUUGAGGCGUGGNUUCCGGAGCUAACGCGUUAAAGUCGACCG